rnacentral:RNase_P_RNA from 1 species
AUGUUUGAGUAAUCGCUGCACAUCGAAGGUGUGUAGAGGAAAGUCCAUGCUCACACAAGCUGAGAUGCUUGUAGUGUUCGUGCUUGACGAAUUCAUAAGUCAAGGUAAUCCUUUUUGGAUUAACGGCAGGGAAGAUACCUAAGUCAUUAGGGAUAUGGUAUUGCAACCUUGAAAGUGCCACAGUGACGUAGUCAGGCGGGAAACCGCUUGAGUGGAACGAGGUAAACCCCGCGAGUGAGCAACCCAAAUAUUGGUAGGGGCAUUCUUUAGUAGGGAAACGAACCGAACGAGAGCCGGGCAUUCGCCUGGAGAUAGAUGAUUACUACUUGCGUACGAGGUUGACCACCGUUUGCAGUACAAUAGUACAGAACAUGGCUUAUAAAA